UGGGGAAUUUUGGACAAUGGGCGAAAGCCUGAUCCAGCAAUGCCGCGUGUGUGAAGAAGGCCUUCGGGUUGUAAAGCACUUUUGUCCGGAAAGAAAUCCUUGGCUCUAAUACAGUCGGGGGAUGACGGUACCGGAAGAAUAAGCACCGGCUAACUACGUGCCAGCAGCCGCGGUAAUACGUAGGGUGCAAGCGUUAAUCGGAAUUACUGGGCGUAAAGCGUGCGCAGGCGGUUUGCUAAGACCGAUGUGAAAUCCCCGGGCUCAACCUGGGAACUGCAUUGGUGACUGGCAGGCUAGAGUAUGGCAGAGGGGGGUAGAAUUCCACGUGUAGCAGUGAAAUGCGUAGAGAUGUGGAGGAAUACCGAUGGCGAAGGCAGCCCCCUGGGCCAAUACUGACGCUCAUGCACGAAAGCGUGGGGAGCAAACAGGAUUAGAUACCCUGGUAGUCCACGCCCUAAACGAUAUCAACCAGUUGUUGGGGAUUCAUUUCCUUAGUAACGUAGCUAACGCGUGAAGUUGACCGCCUGGGGAGUACGGUCGCAAGAUU
rnacentral:rRNA from 1 species